UGGGGAAUAUUGCACAAUGGGCGGAAGCCUGAUGCAGCGACGCCGCGUGAGGGAUGACGGCCUUCGGGUUGUAAACCUCUUUCAGCAGGGACGAAGCCGUAAGGUGACGGUACCUGCAGAAGAAGCGCCGGCCAACUACGUGCCAGCAGCCGCGGUAAGACGUAGGGCGCGAGCGUUGUCCGGAUUUAUUGGGCGUAAAGAGCUCGUAGGCGGCUUGUCGCGUCGACCGUGAAAACUUGGGGCUCAACCCCAAGCCUGCGGUCGAUACGGGCAGGCUAGAGUUCGGUAGGGGAGACUGGAAUUCCUGGUGUAGCGGUGAAAUGCGCAGAUAUCAGGAGGAACACCGGUGGCGAAGGCGGGUCUCUGGGCCGAUACUGACGCUGAGGAGCGAAAGCGUGGGGAGCGAACAGG
rnacentral:rRNA from 1 species